rnacentral:rRNA from 1 species
GAUGAACGCUGGCGGCGUGCCUAAUACAUGCAAGUCGAGCGAACAGACGAGGAGCUUGCUCCUUUGACGUUAGCGGCGGACGGGUGAGUAACACGUGGAUAACCUACCUAUAAGACUGGGAUAACUUCGGGAAACCGGAGCUAAUACCGGAUAACAUGUUGAACCGCAUGGUUCAACAGUGAAAGACGGUCUUGCUGUCACUUAUAGAUGGAUCCGCGCCGCAUUAGCUAGUUGGUAAGGUAACGGCUUACCAAGGCAACGAUGCGUAGCCGACCUGAGAGGGGGUAACGCCACACGGGGAAUGGGAAACGGGGCAGACCCCCCAGGGGGGGAGGAAGGGGGAAAUUUUGCGAAAGGGGGCAAAGCCGAACGGGGAAAGGCGCGGGGGGGAAAAAGGGCUUCGGGUUGUAAAAACCUUUUUAUAGGGGAAAAAAAAAUGGGGAAAUAACCAGGCGCUUUUGACGGGACCCGAAGAAGAAGCCCCGGCUAAAUACGGG